GAAGUAGAUUGGUAAAAACUUCUUUUGAAGUAUUUUUACUCACAGUUCCCAGGAGAAGGUGGCAUGUGGCAGCACAUGGGAGCAUGCAGAGAACUCAUCUCAUGAGGGACCACCUAGGUUGGUCAGAAGGAAUCCACAGAGUGCAGACGUCUGAUUUCUAUAGGAGAUAAUGAGAGGCAAGAAAAUUCCACGUGCCAUGGAAAAGGGUGUAUAAUCUAUUGUUGCUGGAGGAACACUCUGAAGAUCUGGCCACAUUUUCCUUAAGACUGAAAACUCUUGCAGCAUUUUUGGUAAUGCAAAUUCUAAACCCAAGUUUUCUCAGCUUUCAUUUUUAUGUAUAAGUCAAUUUACAUAGACAAGGUGUGAACAGAAUAUAAGACAGGACGGAAUCAGUUUGCUCCUCCACAUGCUCCCUGCCAUUGCUGCCCAGAGUCCCCACCAGGAGAUUAACAGCAGUAAGUCUGCCCAAUCAUGGACUGAAAACUAUAAAAUGAUCCUGGCUAGAUUGGAAUAUUUUGACCAGAGUUGGAGAAUAGAGUUUCGCUGUGUUUCUUAGAGAUCUUCACACCAGAACCAGUAUUUGCCAACUAGGAGUCAAGGACUAUGGCAGACAGAGGGCCAGAGAUGCAAGAGAGAUGCAACAGCCUAAAGAGACGGAACAGACGAUGUUCUAUGCCAAUAUGUGAAUGCUAGUAAGAAGGUAAGAUUAAUAAUGACUGAAACAAAAAGGAUGUGGAAAGGUCACCUGGUUUUCCAUUCUUCCCGUAAAACCCUGUUUAAAUUAUGUGCUAUAAUUUUUCCUCUUAUUGACUCAGGAAAAUAUUGUAAUUAUUAAUAAUUGUUUUUGUAAAAUACUACUGAAAGGAAUAUGAGUUAAAGGAUAUACAACACUACUAGUACUUAUUUCCUUGACAAAUGAUCCCCUCUAAGUGUGGAAUUGGCUCACAAAUCCUUAACAGAUCAUGCCAUGAAACCACUCUGAUGUGAUUAUACUAGCAAGUGUAAGAAAGCCUACCAUUUCCAACGUCAAUGAAAUACGGGGAUUAGGAUUCUAUAAAGCUCCAGUUUCACAAAAGUAUAAACAGCAAAGUAGAUAAACUGGACUUCAUUAACAUAAAAAAAACCUUGUGGUUCAAAGGACACUAUGGAGAAAGUAAAAAUAAAGAAGUAAUAUUUAAAAAUCAAAUAUCUGAAAACAUACUAAAAUUUUAAACUAACAUAAAAUGAGCUGUUAAAAAAUCAACAAUAAGCCAGCCAUUGCGACACUUGCUAUAAUCCCAGCAUUCAAGAGCCUGAAACAAAAAGACCAGGAGUUCUAAGCCAGUUCAGGCCAGCCUAAAAACUCAACAGUAUAAAGUCAACCCAUUUUUUUAACUGAGAAGAUAGUUUAUCAAAAUGUAUUUUGCACAGAAUACACGUGUCAUUAAUAAGCACAUAAAAAGAUGCCCAACAUUAUCUACUAUGAUUAUGUUCCUCCAAACUUUAGGCUAAAAUUUAACCUCCAGGGUCAUAGCAUAAAGAGGAGAAAUGCUAAGGAAGUGAAUAGACUACAAUGGCUUUUCCCUAAAAAACGAGCCUGGUACCCUUAUAAAAGAGAUGAGAGAGCCUAUACUAUCUUUUACUAAUAAAAGCACGGUAAUAAGGCGUCUUCAACAUCUCCGAAGCAGUGUGCAAGCCCUCACUGGACAUCAAAUCUACCUGGCCCUAGUUUUGUACUUCCCAACCUCCAAAUCUUUGAGAAGUUUCUACUCUUUAUAAUUACCAGUGUCUGAAGGCACAAACAGUGUAAGACCUUCUCCACUAGGUGAAUGUGACGAGACAAUACUGCAUUACCUACGUGGAAGACUACAAUAAAAAAAGAUAAUAUUUUUGUAAAAAUGUGGAGAAAUUAGGAUAUUUACACACCAAUAAUAGGAAUGUAAAUGAUGCAGUCACAUUAGAAAAUAGUCCUUCCAUUCCUAUAAGGGUUAAAAAUUGAAGUAACACAUGAUCCACCAACCACACUUACAAUAUAAGUACACUUACAGCCAAAAAAGUGAAAAGCUGUAUCUGUACCAAUAAAAUGCACAUGAGUGGUCAGGGCAGCAUUACCUGUAGUAGCCAGAAAGUGGAAGUAACAAAGGCCCAAAACUAUUGAACGAAUAAGUAGAAAACGAUAUCCAUACUAUGACAUAACAUUCAGCAGUAAAAAGAAAUGAAGUACACCUGAGCAUUUAUAAAUGGUAGGUGCUGCGAGUAACAUGAACCUGGAAAACAUUAGUCUGCUCAAAGGAAAGCCAACAACAAAGGAAGAAAUACACAUAAUCUCAUCUUUAUGAAAUGUCCACAAUAUACAGAUUCACAGUACCUUAGUAGUUGCCUAGAGAUACAGGGACAGAGAAAUGGGGAAGAGGGAUGAGAGCUAAUGGAUGUGAUAUUUUUCCUUGAGCUGAUGAACAUAUUCUAAAACUGAUUGUGGUGACGGUGGUACAACCCCUUGAAUAUGCCAAAAGCCAUGGAACUGAACAUUUUAAGUGAUGAAUUAUUUCUAUGGUAUGUAAGUUAAGUCUCCAUAAACCUUUUACCAAAAAAAUUAAUAAGAAUCUAGUCUGAAUGUCCACUUUCAUCUGCAACAAAAUUAGUAAUGGUUAAGCACGCUGAUUAUCUAGGCAAGGACUCUGUAUACUAGU